GCACUUCCUAAAAGUCAAAGAAAAAGCACUACACUGCUUUUAAAAGUCCUGCUCUUGUAAAAACAUCCUGUUUAACUGAAAAAGUUGUGCUACUACCAGUGGAAUGCUUCAACAGUAAAAUUAAGUUUUCCAUGAUCUCCAGGAACAGCCUGUGAUGUCCCAGGCAAUCGUCUGGCCCCAAGUUACUGAUCUUUGGAGUUAAUCAAGGUGAAAAGCAAAAUUUACUUCUUUCAGCACAUGACCAGCUUCAGCAAAUCAGCAACCAACCCCUUUCUGACCUUAUAUCCAAAGAUGCUGCGCCCUCACCAUCACUGCCCAAGUCCCCAGGAAAAGGGAUGGGCAGCAGAUGCAGAUGAGAAAAAGAUCCCACCCACCAGUAAUAUUGCCAAAGGAAAAUCACAGGACCAGAACAGAGGUACUCAGGAAUCCAGCUCUCAUGCAAGCCAGGAUGACACACCCCUAUAUGGGUGCAUGUACACAUAAAUACACACACAUUUCUGUAACACAGGGAGAAGGAAAUGUGAGUAGGGGUACCUGUAGUGAGUGUCCUCUGCAUAAAAGUAGCAUGGCAACAUGCUACAAAAUAGUGUAAAAAGGCAGAAGACCACUUCUCACAGGACAAGCUGGUGUCACAGAGCCAGAAUGUCACCCACACUGUUUCACAAGGCAGCAGUGCCCUCUUCAACCUGCUUCCAUCCACUGGCUCCGGGACAGCAAUCAAUGCCCACAUGCUGAGCUGUAACCACUGAGAGCACUCCUGCCUUAAUGCAGCCCAGAGAGAAGCCAGGAAGCUCCAUGCCACUGGCAUGCACAAAAUUCAGAGGUUACAGAAGCACCCUGCACAAAUUCCUCCAGAGAUAGACAACGAGGAAGCAUUUUUGCCUCCAAGAAAGAAUGAAAAUUACAACCCUAUCUACAUAGCAAAGGAUACUUUACCCCUGGGUGCAGAACGAGAAGGCUGAAAGAAAUUCAGUGCAUUCCCAGCCCAUGUCUAUUGAUGAGCAGUUGGAACAAUACCAAAAUGCAGUGUAAGAUCAAUCCUGCUGUUUACUUCGCUG